rnacentral:tRNA from 1 species
GGUUCGUUCAAAAUUGGGAAGGGAAACUUUUAAUCUGUUGGUCGUGCGUUCGAACCGCACACGGCCCACCA